rnacentral:rRNA from 1 species
UCGAGGAUCUUCGGCAAUGGGCGGAAGCCUGACCGAGCGACGCCGCGUGUGCGAUGAAGGCCUUCGGGUUGUAAAGCACUGUCGUGGAGGAGAAAGACCCGCAAGGGUUUGAUCGACUCCAGGAGGAAGCUCGGGCUAAGUUCGUGCCAGCAGCCGCGGUAAGACGAACCGAGCGAACGUUAUUCGGAAUCACUGGGCUUAAAGGGCGCGUAGGCGGGCCGUCAAGUCGAGGGUGAAAUCCCCCAGCUCAACUGGGGAAGUGCCUCCGAUACUGGCGGCCUCGAGGGGGAUAGGGGCGUGCGGAACUUCCGGUGGAGCGGUGAAAUGCGUAGAUAUCGGAAGGAACACCGGUGGCGAAAGCGGCGCGCUGGAUCCCUUCUGACGCUGAGGCGCGAAAGCCAGGGGAGCGAACGG